UUGGCUUCAUGUUUUCAUUGAGAAGCAUACAUUAAUGAGUCAAAUCAAAUUUGUGUAUGUUGUUUAAUGAAGCCAAAUAUAAAAUGUUCCCCUCGCUAUCCGGUGUCUACUUUUAAUGUUGCAUUUGGACGUUGGGAAACUACAAUU